rnacentral:rRNA from 1 species
GACGAACGCUGGCGGCGUGCUUAACACAUGCAAGUCGAACGGAAAGGCCCUUCGGGGUACUCGAGUGGCGAACGGGUGAGUAACACGUGGGUGAUCUGCCCUGCACUUUGGGAUAAGCCUGGGAAACUGGGUCUAAUACCGAAUAGGACCACGCGCUUCAUGGUGUGUGGUGGAAAGCUUUUGCGGUGUGGGAUGGGCCCGCGGCCUAUCAGCUUGUUGGUGGGGUAAUGGCCUACCAAGGCGACGACGGGUAGCCGGCCUGAGAGGGUGACCGGCCACACUGGGACUGAGAUACGGCCCAGACUCCUACGGGAGGCAGCAGUGGGGAAUAUUGCACAAUGGGCGCAAGCUUGAUGCAGCGACGCCGCGUGAGGGAUGACGGCCUUCGGGUUGUAAACCUCUUUCAAUAGGGACGAAGCGCAAGUGACGGUACCUAUAGAAGAAGCACCGGCCAACUACGUG